CUUACUGUAAUCUAUAUGGUAAAUGGGCUUUCGGCCUCCUAAGCCGAGGGUCCCCGGUUCAAAUCCGGGCGGGCCCGCCA
rnacentral:tRNA from 1 species